GUUGAUCCCGCCGGACCUGACUGCUAUCGGAUUGAUACUAAGCCAUGUGAGUCAUUGUAGCGAUACAAGGCAGACGGCUCAGUAACACGUAGCCAACCUACCCUAUGGACGGGGAUAACCUCGGGAAACUGAGGAUAAACCCCGAUAGAUCAUUAUGCUUGGAACGGUUAAUGGUCCAAAUGAUUCGUCGCCGUAGGAUGGGACUGCGGCCUAUCAGCUUGUUGGUGAGGUAAUGGCCCACCAAGGCUAUUACAGGUACGGGCUCUGAGAGGAGAAGCCCGGAGAUGGGUACUGAGACACGGACCCAGGCCCUAUGGGGCGCAGCAGGCGAGAAAACUUUGCAAUGUGCGCAAGCACGACAAGGUUAAUCCGAGUGAUUCCUGCUAAAGGAAUCUUUUGCUAGUCCUAAAAACACUAGCGAAUAAGGGGUGGGCAAGUUCUGGUGUCAGCCGCCGCGGUAAAACCAGCACCUCAAGUGGUCAGGAGGAUUAUUGGGCCUAAAGCAUCCGUAGCCUGCUUUGUAAGUUUCCGGUUAAAUCCAUUAGCUUAACUGAUGGGCCGCCGGAAAAACUGCAAAGCUAGGGAGUGGGAGAGGUAGACGGUACUCAGUAGGAAGGGGUAAAAUCCUUUGAUCUAUUGAAGACCACCAGUGGCGAAGGCGGUCUACCAGAACACGUUCGACGGUGAGGGAUGAAAGCUGGGGGAGCAAACCGGAUUAGAUACCCGGGUAGUCCCAGCUGUAAACGAUGCAGACUCGGUGAUGCCCUGGCUUGUGGCCAGUGCAGUGCCGCAGGGAAGCCGUUAAGUUUGCCGCCUGGGAAGUACGUACGCAAGUAUGAAACUUAAAGGAAUUGGCGGGGGAGCACCACAAGGGGUGAAGCCUGCGGUUCAAUUGGAGUCAACGCCGGGAAUCACUAGUGCGGCCGCCUGCAGGUCGACCAUAUGGGAGA
rnacentral:rRNA from 1 species